AUCGGAUAGUCGUUUUAAUAUGGACAUAGCUACUUUAGUUCGGGUGUUGCCCGGUGGGCUUGUCACCGCGAGUUAUUAGGGCUCUCCUAAUAUAAACCUCCUCGAAUGGGGAUGGUCGUAGACUUUAAGAUUUGGGCGUUGCCUAAUACGUCUUGUGCCCUCGGGCUCUGAUAGCCCAGGCCAUCCGAGUUUGUCUUUGGACAGUAGUCCCCUAGUAGGAGUGAUCAUUUGAACUCAGAUUAAGGCGGCUCUUUAGGUGAACGGAUGUAGGAAAUUCCUUAAGA
rnacentral:lncRNA from 1 species